rnacentral:rRNA from 1 species
GACGAACGCUGGCGGCGUGCUUAACACAUGCAAGUCGAACGAUGAAGCUAGAGCUUGCUCUGGUGAAUUAGUGGCGAACGGGUGAGUAACACGUGAGUAACCUGCCCCGAACUCUGGGAUAACUGCUGGAAACGGUAGCUAAUACUGGAUACGACCUACGAAGGCAUCUUCUGUAGGUGGAAAGAAUUUCGGUUCGGGAUGGACUCGCGGCCUAUCAGCUUGUUGGUGAGGUAAUGGCUCACCAAGGCGACGACGGGUAGCCGGCCUGAGAGGGUGACCGGCCACACUGGGACUGAGACACGGCCCAGACUCCUACGGGAGGCAGCAGUGGGGAAUAUUGCACAAUGGGCGCAAGCCUGAUGCAGCAACGCCGCGUGAGGGAUGACGGCCUUCGGGUUGUAAACCUCUUUUAGUAGGGAAGAAGCGAAAGUGACGGUACUUGCAGAAAAGGCACCGGCUAACUACGUGCCAGCAGCCGCGGUAA